rnacentral:rRNA from 1 species
GACGAACGCUGGCGGCGUGCUUAACACAUGCAAGUCGAACGGAAAGGCCCCCUUGUGGGGUACUCGAGUGGCGAACGGGUGAGUAACACGUGAGUAACCUACCCUUGACUUUGGGAUAACUUCAGGAAACUGGGGCUAAUACCGGAUAGGAGCUCCUGCUGCAUGGUGGGGGUUGGAAAGUUUCGGCGGUUGGGGCUGGACUCGCGGCUUAUCAGCUUGUUGGUGGGGUAGUGGCUCACCAAGGCUUUGACGGGUAGCCGGCCUGAGAGGGUGACCGGCCACAUUGGGACUGAGAUACGGCCCAGACUCCUACGGGGGGCAGCAGUGGGGAAUAUUGCACAAUGGGCGGAAGCCUGAUGCAGCAACGCCGCGUGCGGGAUGACGGCCUUCGGGUUGUAAACCGCUUUCGCCUGUGACGAAGCGUGAGUGACGGUAAUGGGUAAAGAAGCACCGGCUAACUACGUG